AGAGUUUGAUCAGUGGCUCAGGACGAACGCUGGCGGCGUGCCUAACACAUGCAAGUCGAGCGGAGACAUUUGGAAAGCUUGCUUUUUGGAUGUUUCAGCGGCGGACGGGUGAGUAACGCGUGAGCAACCUGCCUUUAACAGGGGGAUAACGCAUCGAAAGAUGUGCUAAUACCGCAUAAGACCACAACGCUACAUGGCGAAGGGGUCAAAGGAGCAAUCCGGUUAAAGAUGGGCUCGCGUCCGAUUAGCUAGUUGGUGAGAUAACAGCCCACCAAGGCGACGAUCGGUAGCCGACCUGAGAGGGUGAUCGGCCACAUUGGAACUGAGAUACGGUCCAGACUCC
rnacentral:rRNA from 1 species